UUUGGUGGCGAUGGCGGAGGGGAACCACGCGUUCCCAUACCGAACACGACCGUUAAGCCCUCCAGCGCCAAUGGUACUUAGACC
rnacentral:rRNA from 1 species